AUGGCCGGCAGGGAGGCCUCGGCGGCGCUGUCGUGCGGGCAGGUGGACUCCAAGCUCGCGCCGUGCGUGGCGUACGUGACGGGGAGGGCGUCCUCGAUCAGCAAGGAGUGCUGCUCCGGCGUGCAGGGGCUGAACGGCAUGGCCCGCAGCAGCUCGGACCGCAAGAUAGCGUGCAGGUGCCUCAAGAGCCUCGCCACCAGCAUCAAGUCCAUCAACAUGGGCAAGGUCUCCGGCGUGCCCGGCAAGUGCGGCGUCAGUGUGCCCUUCCCCAUCAGCAUGUCCACCAACUGCGACACGUAUGUUCUAACCUUUCGGUCUCCUGAUCCAAAUGCAUGCAUUUUUCAUCUUCUCGCGCAGCCGUCUAGUCCAGAUCUUGUGCAUAUUUCCAUGUGGUGCUACUCCAUAACCGUCUGUUUUCACGUUAUAAAAAGCAAACGGUUUUUUACACCAGGCCAAACAGUUGUUUUAAUCCAGCAUCCGAGCUAG
rnacentral:rRNA from 1 species